AUAUUAUUAAGCGGAGGAAAAGAAACUAACAAGGAUUCCCUCAGUAACGGCGAGUGAAGUGGGAUGAGCUCAAAUUUUGAAUCUGCCCUUUUCAUCAGGGGUCGAAUUGUAGUUUCGAGAAGUGUUUUCGGGCUUUUAGAACAGGUUAAAGUCCUAAGGAUUUAGGCAUCACAGAGGGUGACAAUCCCGUGAAUGACUUGUUUCUGGGUCUAUGUGAUACACUUUCAAAGAGUCAGGUUGUUUGGGAAUGCAGCCUAAAAUGGGUGGUAAAUACCAUCUAAAGCUAAAUAUUGGCGAGAGACCGAUAGCGCACAAGUA
rnacentral:rRNA from 1 species